rnacentral:rRNA from 1 species
GAUGAACGCUGGCGGCGUGCCUAAUACAUGCAAGUCGAGCGAAUGGAUUAAGAGCUUGCUCUUAUGAAGUUAGCGGCGGACGGGUGAGUAACACGUGGGUAACCUGCCCAUAAGACUAGGAUAACUCCGGGAAACCGGGGCUAAUACCGGAUAACAUUUUGAACCGCAUGGUUCGAAAUUGAAAGUCGGCUUCGGCUGUCACUUAUGGAUGGACCCGCGUCGCAUUAGCUAGUUGGUGAGGUAACGGCUCACCAAGGCAACGAGGCGUAGCCGACCUGGGAGGGUGAUCGGCCACACUGGGACUGAGACACGGCCCAGACUCCUACGGGAGGCAGCAGUAGGGAAUCUUCCGCAAUGGACGAAAGUCUGACGGAGCAACGCCGCGUGAGUGAUGAAGGCUUUCGGGUCGUAAAACUCUGUUGUUAGGGAAGAACAAGUGCUAGUUGAAUAAGCUGGCACCUUGACGGUACCUAACCAGAAAGCCACGGCUAACUACGUGCCAGCCGCCGCAGUAA